GAUUUAUAUAAUUCACUCAUGCUACUUCUUAGUGUAGCAGUUUUCACUGUUUUUAAGCUUGCAGAGAACCUUGCCAAGAGAUCCUGAGAGUAUCUUCAAAAACACAGAAGUUGGAAACUCCAUCUUAUUCUUGGUUUAUCUAAUUAAGUCUACCCAGGUCAAAACCUAGAAUUUAAAUCACACAGAAAAUAGAUCUUUAAGGCAAACCCAUUGAAGACUAAGCAACAAAGUUUUAAUAUCAGUGAAACUGUAGUAAGGAAAACAUGCCUGAAGACUUGACUAUACCACGGACUCCAAACCAUGGUGAUCAGCAUAGAUACACUAAGGAUGAAAUGUCUUUUGCUUUCUUCAGUAAUCUUUCAAGCAGAACACAGGGUCAUGCUGACACCUGAAAUGAGCAAGGAGAUGAGGCAGUCUACACCAUAAACAAAGUAACCUUGAGAUCACAUUCUGCUUGCAUCUUCUUUAAAUUUCAAAUACAAGCAUAACAGUUUGUAUCAUGAUUCUUUGUGUGAAAUGUAAAAAUAUCACAGAGUAUCGUUCCUUGGAAGGCAGAGAAUUUACUCUGUUCUUGGAUGCACCUACAGGUAGCACAAGUGAACAGUAGUAUUUUCUCAUCAAUAUUCUCAUUGUAUUCUCAAAAGACCCUGAUUUUCUUUGUGGCUGCAUUUUAUUGCUUCUACUCAUUAUUUCUUGUGUUUCUUCAUUUGAUACUAUUUCAUGCGGCUAGUAGAACAGUUGCAAGAGAAUAUCUAAUAGACAUCUGAUAUUCUUUGCUAAAGCACCUUCUUCUUUGCAGCGGAGCAUGCUAUUACCAGUGUGUAUUCAGUAGUAUCAUUUCUAGCUUCAGAGGGAUACAAAAGAAUGCCUUCCCUUAUUCUUCUAAAGAGGGAUGCAAAACAUGUACGAACUUGUCUCUUACAAUGCUGGGUAAUGUUUCACAGAUUAAAAAAAAAAAAAAAAAAAAAAAAAAA